CGCAGCGCUGCGACGGGACCGCGCGAUUCCUCUCCCACGCAUCUGGCCCGCGUUCCUGGGCCUCGGCACCGGAUCCCGGCGGGGGUGUGGACCCAGGGCCCACUCUCCCCGGCGCGGCCAGGGCCCCCCAGCGUGCGAGCGCCUAGGGGAUGCCGAGAUGAGGAGGUGCGCGGGGCCGGGGCGGAGCAGUCGCGUUCCCCGCGUGUGAGCCCCCACCCAUCCCUGGCGCCAGCGCUUCCCCGACCACUCGGGUUCGGCUAUGCGGGAGCCGUGAGGAGGAGGCUUGCAGUCGUGGACCUGAGACCUCGGGAGGUCAUGCUGUCUUGCUUUUAAGUGGCUUGGGGAAAGUGAAGAAACCCCAAAAUGGAGGACUUUGCUACCAGGACCUACGGCACCAGUGGCCUGGACAACAGACCUCUGUUUGGGGAGACGUCCGCCAAGGAUCGAAUCAUCAAUUUAGUUGUUGGCAGCUUAACAUCCUUAUUGAUUCUAGUAACGCUGAUAAGUGCUUUUGUUUUCCCUCAACUACCUCCAAAACCGUUGAAUAUAUUCUUUGCUGUCUGCAUCUCUUUGAGUAGUAUUACUGCCUGCAUACUUAUCUACUGGUAUCGACAAGGAGACUUAGAACCGAAAUUUAGAAAGCUAAUUUACUAUAUCAUAUUUUCUAUCAUCAUGUUGUGUAUAUGUGCAAACCUGUACUUCCAUGAUGUGGGAAGGUGAGGCUGCCAAGGAGAAGUACUUACCAGGACUCUUCAAAAUGAUACAUUAGGACAGUGAGUAAUUUUUGGAUAAGGUAUGCUGAAGAAUCUCCUGCAGAAGUCUGAUACAUGAUUUUCAUGUUAAUUGUAAAUGUUAAUUCCCUCUUGCAAGGGAGACAUAUCCUAGAUCACUUUGCUUUUUCUUUAAGGAGCUGAUGUUGCACCUAAACAUUCCAACCCUUAAAGCUAAAACAGCACAAAAAAAUUUCACUUUUGAAAUGAAAUUUUUAUAAUUGUAUGGCAAAAGGCUAUGUAAAAACAAAUCUUGCAUCUUAAGACAAAUAUUCUUUUAUUUCUGUUAAACUGAAUAUACAAUUGUUCCCUAGGCAACCAACUUUUGCUUAUAACUACAAUUUAAUUUCACGUUGACAAAACACAGUGAAAAGACAACUUUGUGAAGAUCUAAUUACAAUAAUAAAU
rnacentral:lncRNA from 1 species